GGGUCGUUAGCUCCGUCGGUAGAGCAGUUGACUUUUAAUCAAUUGGUCGCAGGUUCGAAUCCUGCACGACCCACCA
rnacentral:tRNA from 1 species